CCUACCCUACUAUAUAUACAUAUCGUCUAUGUUUGUUAAAGGUUUGAUUACGGAGAGCGUUUCUGGGACGUUAAAUGUCGUCAGUUCACCUGCCAAUGCGGAUCACCAGUAUGUAAAUAUUCAAGUGAAGUUUAUAAGAAUAAAGCCGAACAAGAGCUACAACAACAUAAUGAAAAUAAUGACGUCACAAACGACGUGGAAAUGAAAGCUUCAUCAGCGAACAACGAAAUCGUGGAUUAACACUUCAUGUUGAAGAAGCCAUGUUUUUAUGUGGGAUUUUUUUAUCUAGAAAUAAAAAUUUGGCCGGGUA